AUAGCCGCCCUCACUCUGACAACAAGACGUCUGCUCACGUCUUCCAACGUCCAAGGAGGUGCCAGCUCUUUGGCACAGCUGUCUGCACUUGCUUUAAUUCGCUGGCAACCGUCCUCUGAGUUUUACAGCGAUUGAACAUUAAGAAUCGCUGCAGUAGCCUAUGCCUUGUCUAAAUGUCCUUCCGUGGUUUAAGAAGACGAAACAGGCACUUGAAGCGCAGCGCAAGUGGACCCCCUCACGCAUGGAUCGAAACCGGGCCAAAAUCCGAAGAUAGCUUGUAGAGUGAACAGUGAUUCAUCACCCUCGUCUGGUGGGAAUGAGUACUACAGGCCACGGGCACGCAAGCGCUGAAACCCGGAGAUCUGAGCGCAACUGAGAUGCUUACAAACCUCACCCGUCAAAACAGCCAUCAGUUCCGGAAACGUGAUGACUUCACACUGUGGACACAUAACAACCCGUUCUGCGUCCUUCCACGCGCCACUCCCUCUCCCCGAUUACGUCAACCCUGAGGUGGGCAGAGUGGGGAGAUCUCCGGACCUGCUUUCGGAAUCGCGUCAGAUUCCAUCCAGACCGCCGCAGAAUAUGUCCAUUAUGUCACAAGAAGCCCGUGGGACACUGGUGGAGGGCUGGAAGAAUGACCUCCGAAAUUUAUUUUGACUUCUAAAAAAAAAAAAAAAAGCGUUGCUCUGCACCCUCCCCUCCCGCAGCCAAGACCUGUUUUCAUUCUAUUACACCACCCACUGGUUGCCUAAUCUUGUGUCCGGGCCUUCAGACGAAAAGACCUUGAGAGACCGUUGAUAUACCAGAUGCUAGAAAACAUUCGGCGAACAGCUGUAGCUGAGUUAUCGGGGACAAGCUCUCAUUCCGGCUCGUCCUCUGACAAAUCUUGGCUGGGUCCCCCUGUGUAAUGUUACGUAAUACUCAUAGAGAAAUGUGUAUGAUGAUGGCGAUGUUCCGGUUUCCUACUACAUAUAAAACACAUGUACUCGUUGGGAAUGAUAAUAAUAAUAAUAAUAAUAACAACAAUAAUAAUAAUACGCUGUUGUUUUUAUUUAUAUAAUUACUGUUCAUAUAAUUUCCCGCCCUGAAACGUUUCCGCACUUCUGAGUAGCUAGUAAUGAGAAUCCUGUAAAUACUGAAAUAUUUCACUUGCUUGACAUUAACAAUAUAUGAUUAGUAGGCUACAUAAUUGCUAUUUCACGAAGCUUUUCCCCGCCAUGUUUUUUCUGGUACUUUGAAGGAUGUGAUGUUCGCAGGAUUUAAUUAUUACUUCACUGACAAAAUAUAAUGGGGAGACCGGAGACGUGACCAAGGUACAAGACCUGUGCCAUUAGCGUACCCACCUAACGUAUCCAGACGCACCUUCGAUUUUUUCGUAUAUUCUAUCGCCAUCUGCUGGUGAAAUGUAUAAUUAGUGUUUUCGCCAUAUUCAUCAGUGCACAAGAAAGAAAAUGGUCAUUUAUAAUCA